UACAGAGGUCUCAAGCGUUGUUCGGAUUCAUUGGGCGUAAAGGGUGCGUAGGUGGCGCUGUAAGUCAGGUGUGAAAUUUCGGAGCUUAACUCCGAAACUGCAUUUGAUACUGCGGUGCUUGAGGACUGGAGAGGAGACUGGAAUUUACGGUGUAGCAGUGAAAUGCGUAGAGAUCGUAAGGAAGACCAGUGGCGAAGGCGGGUCUCUGGACAGUUCCUGACACUGAGGCAACGAAGGCCCAGGGGGAGCAAACGGG
rnacentral:rRNA from 1 species